GGUGGUGGAGAGGAGGACACUGAGAAAAACUGUUGUCCAUAUUGGACAACCCGGACCACCCUCUUCACCAACUACUGCAGGGCCAGCGGAGCACCUUCUCCAACAGGCUGAUCUAGCUCCGCUGUCACAAGGACAGAUACGGGAAAACAUUCCUACCAACAACAUGUAUCUAUUCAUCUAUCUCAUCUCUUGGCCAUUGUGGAGAGGUUGUAGUCUGUUUGAUUCAGUGUGUGGACAGGUGUCUUUUAUGCAGGUAACGUGUUCAAACAGGCACAGUUAAUACAGGUAAUGAGUGGAGAACAGGAGGGCUUCCUAAAGACAAACUAACAGGUCUGUGAGAGCUUGAAUUCUUACUAGUCGGUAGGUGAUCAAAUACUUAUGACAUGCAAUAAACUGCUAAAUGUAUUUUUUUAAAUCAUACAAUGUGAUUUUCUGGAUUUGUGUUUUAGAUUCCGUCACUCCCAGUUGAAGAGUACCUAUGAUACAAAUGAAAGACUCCUACGUGCUAUCACCAACACGGAAGUGCCACAAAGGCACUUCUCCAUUAACACCUGACUAUUCCUGGAGUGCAGACACAGUCUCGUGUCCGCAUGCAGCAGUUGUGACCCUCGGAGCCC
ensembl:lncRNA